UGGGGAAUUUUGGACAAUGGGGGAAACCCUGAUCCAGCCAUCCCGCGUGUGCGAUGAAGGCCUUCGGGUUGUAAAGCACUUUUGGCAGGAAAGAAACGUCGCGGGUUAAUACCCCGCGAAACUGACGGUACCUGCAGAAUAAGCACCGGCUAACUACGUGCCAGCAGCCGCGGUAAUACGUAGGGUGCAAGCGUUAAUCGGAAUUACUGGGCGUAAAGCGUGCGCAGGCGGUUCGGAAAGAAAGAUGUGAAAUCCCAGAGCUUAACUUUGGAACUGCAUUUUUAACUACCGGGCUAGAGUGUGUCAGAGGGAGGUGGAAUUCCGCGUGUAGCAGUGAAAUGCGUAGAUAUGCGGAGGAACACCGAUGGCGAAGGCAGCCUCCUGGGAUAACACUGACGCUCAUGCACGAAAGCGUGGGGAGCAAACAGGAUUAGAUACCCUGGUAGUCCACGCCCUAAACGAUGUCAACUAGCUGUUGGGGCCUUCGGGCCUUGGUAGCGCAGCUAACGCGUGAAGUUGACCGCCUGGGGAGUACGGUCGCAAGAUUAAAACUCAAAUGAAUUGACGGGGU
rnacentral:rRNA from 1 species